UACACUCUAAAAUUCCUUUCAGCUCUUCCCUCUCUCUCUUCCUCUCAUUCUCCUCACCAGCCGGCAGCAGCUCCAGCAGCCCGUCUUCCCUCCCCUUUGUGCUUUGGAUUUGUCAACUUCUAGCUAGGAUUUCUCUUGUUUCUAUGCAUAAGAGGAGGGCGACUAGCAGAGAGAAGAAAGCUUAGAGAAAGAAGAUAAUGUCUGAAGUUGUUCCUCUCUUGAGGCAUCAGCUAGGUUUGUCACUACCAGCCUUGUCAAUGAGCCAGUUCUUAAAUCUUGGUCAAUUUGGAGCAUGCAUCUAGUAGCAUCCCAUUUUGAUAGUAUGUGUUGCUUAUUGUAAAUGGGCU